rnacentral:lncRNA from 1 species
AAUUCCUAAGACCCCAUCUUUUAAUCCUAACCAUCGAUCUCACCCUUUAAAUAUCAGCCUCCCAUCUCAAUUUUAAUCAACGGCUCGGAUUAGAUAUCUCAUACCUUUCUAUUCUAAACAAAAGAACUCAAAACCCUAAGACAAUUCAUUCUUCUUCUUCCCAAAGAAAAGAGCAACGCCGCUCUUUCUCUUCUCCUCCCUUCCAGCGAAGCCACUCCGGCGAGGCCGCCAGAGGCGGCGACGUACCUCUUUCUCUCCCCUCUCUCCUCUUCUCCUUCCCUCCUAUCUUCCGUCGCUCUUCCCCUUUCCCUUUCUCGCUUCUCGCAGUAGCCGCUCCACCGACGAAGACCACCAGGCAGCAGCUGCAGCUCCAGCUGCUGUACAGUAGCUACCCACAAAGCCACUGCGAAGAAGCAGCAGCAACCAGGCAUCGCCCCUCUUCUCCAACGCUGCUGCUUCAGCAGCUGCCUCCGCUCUCCUCUCCGGCGAAGAAAUUGACAACGCCAACAACAACUAACAUCUCUGGUCAACGACAAUAGGCAACAAAAUCAUGGUGUCAUUCUUCCUUCAUCUUUGUGAAUGCUCAUGCGUUAAUGUCUUCCCUUUUUGAUUUGCAUGUUUGUUAAUAUGAUUAUACAAAUUUUUAAGCUCUUUACUUGUCUGAUUUUAUUAUGUAAUUUUUGUCCUUAGAUUCUGAAUUUUAGUAAUUUACUGCACACAAGAAAUUUGAAUAGAUCAUUAUGUUUUUGGUGUUUCUAUUUCUUCAUUGUUGUAUAUUUUAUUUGAUUUGAUAAUAAGAGUGUUUUUCUAACUAUGGUGAUUUCAGCGAUAUCUUUAUCCUUGCGUAUUUUGUAAAUAUUGAAUUCGGGUCAUUUAUGAAUCAGACAAUUCCUUUUAAAAUUUUUGGUAAACAUGAGAAAGAUAUGGAUGCUCUUUACAAGAAGCCAAAGGUAGAUAGAACUCCUAUCAUUUGAAAGGGGUUUAAAGUCCAAUUGUGAAACUCUUAGAAUCUGUGUAAUCAUGUUAAGCAUAAUUACCAACCUUCUUACUCAAGGUGAAUUUUUAGAACCUCCAUAAAAGAUUACUUUUGUUUCUAUUUAGUUGAAGUAUCUCAAAAUUAGAGUACUAAUAUACUUAGUUUGAUUGAUUGUUAGUUAGUAAGUGAAUGAUUUAGGGUUUUUGAUUGUUAGUUUGAAUUAGAGAUUAUUUGAUUGUUAGUUUGUGUUUGUUGAUUGUGAAUUGAAAAUUUUAAUGUUACGGUUAGUUUGAAUUAGGGUAUCUUAGGAUUUGUUUGAAAUUCGGUAUUUCUUGAGUUAAUUAGUUUGAUUUUGGAAUUGUAAGAUUAGAUUGAAUUAGGAUAUUUAAGGAGUUAUUUGAAUUUGAACUUAGAACUUGAACUUAGAAUUUGAAGUUAAACUUAGAACUUGAACUUGAAAUUAGAACUUGAACU